UCUGCCCGUUAGGGCAUAAUCUAUUUUUCACUUUUUGUCUUUGCUCGUGGAUGAGGCGCCAAUCCUCUCGCAGAAGCUCUCCCGCAAUGCAGCUGCUCAUUCUCGUAACGCAUGUCUGCAUCAGCUCCUCCCCCGCAUCUCUGUCGAGUUAUGACUUGUGACCUAAAUCUGCUGAUGGCGGGUCAAAUUUGUCAUGCGAAAGUGAAGGCUCAAUGAGGCAGCACAUUGUUGUAGACAGGCUUUAGCAGUCGUUAUCCGGUAUGCAUUUUUUUCCCUUUUUUCUUUCUUUCCUUCUUAAUUGGUGGACUGCACUUGUCUAAGACGGUCUUAUUGUAAAAAAAUGUUUCCCCUUAAUGCAACACCAAUUAAUUGUCAUGGUAACCUUUGGAAAUACAAUGAAGGUUGAUGGUCCAGUACAAGAAGUGAGUUACUUUGUUCUUUGAAGAGGAAAUCUGUUUUGUAUAAAUUCUAUAGAAUAACAUAGUGUGAUUUCUUCUUUUUAUUUGUAUUAUUCUUGCCCUGUGUGCUUGAGUGUUGUAUGUUCAUCUUUGGUGCAAGCAUUUUGUGUUUUGAUCUUAUUGCACGUGAUUAUAGUUUUCUGAAUUUUGUGGGUUUUUUACUGACCUUUAAUAGUUUAAUUAGGAAAAAUUGUUUUUGAGAACUUUUAUUCUGUUCUACUUUGUACAGAAAUUGGGAAGAAUAAAAAAAUACCAAAAUUGUUCAAAAAAUUCUGAAUUUUGGUUUUCUAGAAUCCUCUCCUUCUGUAGAGUAAAAAACUCCUUAGUUUUCAUAUCGGUUCUUUACAAUAUAAUGUCUUUUUGACCCAGAUUUGUGAACCUGUCAGAAGUCGAAGAGUCUGCCUCUUGCUCAGUCUACCCAUCUUGUUUUGCAUUCACCCAUCUCUUUAGGGAGUAGAGUUCAUGCCUCCUCGUGAUAUACCAUUUGAUGUCAAGAACAUUUGUAAAGUAAUUUUUUUUUUAAUUUUGUUUAAAAACAUUUUAAAAAUGUCUUCGCCCAUGAUGAUAUGUCUUUGCUUUACUCUUAGUAUCUUCUCGAGUAGGAGAAACUUUCAAGUUUUUGUUGUCAAGCAAUGGAAGAGGAAAGCUGAAAAAAUCCUGGAUCUGAACAGUAAGGAAAACUCCUAUGAAGCUGAGAAAGUUAAGAAUAGGAAAUGCUAUUGACUCUGGUGUUCAAAAAUUUGCAAGGAUCUAAUAUGAAUAUAUGCUGAGAGAGAAAGCCACAAUGCUCUGUAAGAUCUUGGCAGGUAGCAAAAUGAGUGUUGAGAGAUGGGCUCGAGGCUUGUGUAGUUGUUCCUCUGAGUCAGUAAUCAAGAGUACCGGGUAGGCAUAAAGCUGAUUUAUGUCUAUUUCGCGAAGAUAAUGACUUACGAACCUUUGGCUCGUCGAAAACCCGUAAGGUGAAGCGGGUUGGACACGUGACAAAGCUACACAUAACCACCAAAGCGGUGGAGCUUCGUAGUAGCCUUUGAGGUGGUGAGGUAUUCCCUCAAAGGUGAAGGUCGGCCUGAAAAAAAAAUCAAAGAAAAAAAAAUAGCAAAAAGCUAAAUGCAAAAGAAAGAACAAAAAAACUAAAAAAAAAAAAAAACAAAAGGUGCCUGCCAAGAGAUGAAAGACAUGAAGGUUGAACUCGCAGGAUUUGAAUGUAACGAUCUUUUGUGGAUGUGCAAAUUUGGGGUCAAUAUCUGCUCCUUUUUUUUAUUACCUAAGAUGUCGAGGAUGAUUCCUUUAUGUUCACAUUUUGGAAAUUGAAAGAUAUCCCUUCUAGAUGUUCGACGACAUUGAUGCGAAAUGAAUCCUAAUCCUUGUAUGGUACUAUGGAUAAGUGAAUGACAUAUUACUUGCACAACACGAGCACUCAAGCUUAUGAGUUAAAGUGAUAAUUUUGAACUAUUUCAAAGUCAAAACUUGACAUCUCUUGUUAUAUUUUGAGGUUUUCUUGGCAUAAGAGGAACUAACCAAUCCCCUUUGGUCUUGAAAGGUGUUUGCCAUUUCAUUAACAAACUACUAGUCCAUGGAACCCUUCAAACCUAGUCCACUUAUGCUGAAUGUGACAAUUUGUCCAUCUUUUCUUUUGUCUUAGGAGAGGCACAUCAUUUGGGAACUGACCCAUCUUAACCGAGUGUCUUCGACCCGUUGAAAUGUCUUCAACCUGUUUUUCAAUGACAUAACCUAGACUUAGGGUUGAGGCUAUCAUGGAAGAUCUCUUAUCUGUUUUCAAAAGAACUGGUCGAUUUUGAACUGUGACAUUUUUGAAAAGUUCUAUCAUUUGAAGUUGCAUGAGUUUUGUUCUUGGCUUCAUCUAAUAUUUGUCUUGGCUUGCAAUACAUGGUUUUGCAAAAUGAGGUGGAGUUAUUCUUCAUCGCCACCAACUACCCACCCAUGCCUUUGCUUCGACAGUUGGGUCCUUUAUGGUUUCGGACCAGGUGGGAUAUGGCUGAGUGGUGUAUUAGUGCAGCCUAGAAGGCUAGAAUUGUGGCUUAUGGGCCCACUGUUCAAAUGUGGGACAUUUGCAUUGUACUCACCAACUGAUAUGCAAGCAUGUAAAGCUCUGUCUUCUUCCAAACCAAUUUUCAUCUGAUGCUCGUAUCAAGUUCAUGCUGAGUGGUGUAUUAAUGCAGCCUAGAAGGCUAGAACUGUGGCUUAUGGGCCCACUGUUCAAAUGUGGGACAUUUGCAUUGUACUCACUGAUAUGCAAGCAUGUAAAGCUCUGUCUUCUUCCAAACCAAUUUUCAUCUGAUGCUCGUAUCAAGGUGCCACAUCCACAGCUUGGGAUGUCAAUAACGAUUAAAGAAAUGAGGUA